GCCAUGCUUUCUGAGAGGUUGGUGUUGUGAAGUAUUAAGGAUGAGCUUACAUUGUUUGUUGAUUGUCAGAUUAGGCUUGUGGCAAAUGAAUGCCUGGAUGCUUAAUUCAUGAUGAUUUUUUGUAUGAAUAUAUGUGUGGCUCUUGCCUGUCCAUGUGGCAUGAAUUGAUUAUAUUCGUUUCUAGCCCUUUUGACAUGAGGCAUGUUUGUG
rnacentral:misc_RNA from 1 species